rnacentral:rRNA from 1 species
GAAUCGCUAGUAAUCGUGGAUCAGAAUGGCACGGUGAAUACGUUCCCGGGCCUUGUACACACCGCCCGUCACACCAUGGGAGUGGACUGCACCAGAAGUGGUUAGCCUAACUUCGGAGGGCGAUCACCACGGUGUGGUUCAUGACUGGGGUGGAGUCGUAACAAGGUAGCCGUAGGGGAACCUGCGGCUGGAUCACCUCCUU